rnacentral:rRNA from 1 species
UACGGAGGGUGCAAGCGUUAUCCGGAUUCACUGGGUUUAAAGGGUGCGUAGGUGGGCAGGUAAGUCAGUGGUGAAAUCUCCGGGCUUAACCCGGAAACUGCCGUUGAUACUAUCUGUCUUGAAUACCGUGGAGGUCAGCGGAAUAUGUCAUGUAGCGGUGAAAUGCUUAGAUAUGACAUAGAACACCAAUUGCGAAGGCAGCUGGCUACACGAAUAUUGACACUGAUGCACGAAAGCGUGGGGAUCAAACAGG